CGCCUUGCCAGCCCGCUCAGAACUCAAAGGAAUUGAGGGGCCCGCACAAGCGGUGGAGUAUGUGGUUUAAUUCGAUGCAACGCGAAGAACCUUACCUGGUCUUGACAUCCCGGAGACCCUUAGGAAACUAGGGGUGCUUCCAUCUGGAAGAAUCUGGAGACAGGUGCUGCAUGGCUGUCGUCAGCUCGUGUCGUGAGAUGUUGGGUUAAGUCCCGCAACGAGCGCAACCCUUGCCUUUAGUUGCCAGCAGUUCGGCUGGGCACUCUAAAGGGACUGCCGGUGUUAAACCGGAGGAAGGUGGGGAUGACGUCAAGUCCUCAUGGCCUUUAUGACCAGGGCUACACACGUACUACAAUGGCCGAUACAAAGGGCAGCGACACUGCGAGGUGAAGCCAAUCCCGUAAAAUCGGUCUCAGUCCGGAUUGGAGUCUGCAACUCGACUCCAUGAAGUUGGAAUCGCUAGUAAUCGUGGAUCAGCAUGCCACGGUGAAUACGUUCCCGGGCCUU
rnacentral:rRNA from 1 species